ACUCCUACGGGAGGCAGCAGUAGGGAAUCUUCCACAAUGGACGAAAGUCUGAUGGAGCAACGCCGCGUGAGUGAAGAAGGGUUUCGGCUCGUAAAACUCUGUUGUUGAAGAAGAACAUAUCUGAGAGUAACUGUUCAGGUAUUGACGGUAUUUAACCAGAAAGCCACGGCUAACUACGUGCCAGCAGCCGCGGUAAUACGUAGGUGGCAAGCGUUGUCCGGAUUUAUUGGGGCGUAAAGCGAGCGCAGGCGGUUUUUAAGUCUGAUGUGAAAGCCUUCGGCUCAACCGAAGAAGUGCAUCGGAAACUGGGAAACUUGAGUGCAGAAGAGGACAGUGGAACUCCAUGUGUAGCGGUGAAAUGCGUAGAUAUAUGGAAGAACACCAGUGGCGAAGGCGGCUGUCUGGUCUGUAACUGACGCUGAGGCUCGAAAGUAUGGGUAGCAAACAGGAUUAGAUACCCUGGUAGGAUAGCG
rnacentral:rRNA from 1 species